AGCUCCAUUAGCGUAUAUUAAUGUUGUUGCAGUUAAAAAGCUCGUAGUUGGAUUUCUGUUUUUAAAGUUUUGUUAUAUUUUUAAUAUGAUAAAAUUUUGAAUUCAUCCUUUGGGGAAAUUGUUAUGCUAUUCAUUUAGUAUAAUACCAACCCCAAUCUUUUACUGUGAAAAAAUUAGAGUGUUUAAAACAGGCUAUUACGUCUUGAAUACUAGAGCAUGGAAUAAUAAAAUACGACUUUUUUGUAUUUUGUUGGUUUGCGAAAAAAGUAAUGAUUAAGAGGAAUAGAUGGGGAUAUUUGUAUUUUAUUGUCAGAGGUGAAAUUCUUGGAUUUAUAAAAGACAAACUACUGCGAAAGCAUUUAUCAAGCAUGUUUUCAUUA
rnacentral:rRNA from 1 species